UAACGCAAAGAAUCUCAAUCUCCCCUUCGUUAUCCGCCCUUUCCGCUGCCCCUCUCCUUCUCUUUGAUAAUCGACUCUUCUAUCCUCCUUCAUUAUCUGAUCUCUCCCCUUCCCCUCUCCCUCUCUCUUUGAUAACGCCCAAAUCCGUGCUUUCCCCUGCCCCUCUCCCUCUCCCCCUCCCCCUCCCCAUCUCUAAAUUAAAUUGACGUUCGGACUCCUCGCUUCAGUUUCCCUCUCCCUCUCGCUAGCUAUCUCUAAAUUCAUCCUUAUUUCGACGAUCGAGCUCCUCACCUCAAUUCCUUCCGUUUUCAACCAUUGGCAAUGUAAGUAUGGAUAUUGGUAGUAACUGCUACGGCUUUCCAAUCCCUAUAAAUUAUGUUGUGAUUCUAUAAAUACCUUCUGCUUCAAUUUUGAUGGAACAAAGAAGGUUUUUUUUCCAAUUGUGUCGGAGAUUGAUUGGAGGAGUAGAAAGCUAUUAAGGCAUUCACCAGAGAUAAAGAACUCCUGUGUGGUCCCUUUGAUCCCUUGGAUGCUCUCUAAGUUACCAGUCCUUUUUUGGCUACGCUUGACAUAUUCUGUUCUUUCCUCCUGUAUGACUGUUAACAUAUUGAUGUAUCGCAGGCUAUUGUAUGUGUUAUAGCGUUCCAGAUUGCAAAUUUUGGUGAGAGCAUGAUAGGUGCAGCACUACAAGAUAAGGAGGGUUUUCAAUGGCUCAACAACGACCUUGUCAAUGUAAUCAACAUCUCCAUCGGCAGCAUUCUGGCUUCUGAUGCAGCAGCUCAUUCUAAGGAGUUGACAGGGAUGACAUACCCUUGUUGACAUGUUAUCACGUUCCAUCAACCUAUGAGAACUCAUUGACGUUGACAUCCUUGUAUGAAGAGAAUAUCUCCAUGAACUGGAAGAGGGAGAAAUUCUGCUCCUGCUCAGCUUUCAACAUCCACUGAGAAUGGAAGUAUUAUGCAAAAUUCUAGUAAGACUGUAAAGCCAUUCAGUGUGCAUCCUUUGCCUUCAUUUAUUCUCAGCCAUAAAAAAAACAGUGAUAAAAAAGAUGAUAAAUGAGGGUCACUCAACCAACAAGCAAGCAAUUGUUACUUCAAAUCGACUUUAUGACGAUGAAGAAGAACCAUCGAUUGAGGAGUAUUAUGAUGAUGAGGAGAGCUCUUAUGAAGUUAACAAAAAAAAUGAAGGUUGAGAAUUCAGAUCCUGAUUAUGUCCCUAGCGAAAAUGUUCCUACUACUGCUCAAGUCAAUUUUCUUUUGCUGCUAAGAUCAAAGACGAAGAAGAAGCAUAUAAAUUAUUUACUGAAGCUAUGGGCAUUCUUGCAGCUAUCUGGAAAUUUCAUCAGGAGAAUGAGUUUAGAUGUCUUAGUCUUAGAAGAAUAAAUGUCAAGUCAAUAAAUUUAGGUCUACGAGUUUGUGAAUCUUAUUGUUGGAAGUUUUUAUCAGCUUAGAUAAUGUGACAAAGAACUUAUGUUUAGAUCUUUAUGUUUCUUUAAUAUUGACUUUAUGAAUGAUACGGUUUGUGUGUUAAAUAUGAUAUAGUUUUCAAAUUUAUUACUUCAUUUUCAAAGCUUCACAAUUUUUUGUGUUGUUGCCUAUCCAAUUUUAAAUUUAUAUAAUGUAACAAACUCUUGUUGCCUUUUUAUAAUUGUAUGCAUAUACCCUUGAUUUAUCAAACCAAAUACUAUUUACAAGAGCAAAUUCGCUUUUGCGUAAGUGAUUGGGUGAUGAAACCAAAACUUACUUCUAACACUAUUUAUGUCUUCGAAUCUUUUAAGUCAAGAUUCGUUUUUUGGAAAACCUUGUUUUAUAAUGUAAAAACAUGAUAUUUAUGUGCAGUUACUUUUGUCUCUACUAAAAAUUUGCAGUCCUUUUUAUUUAUGCAAAUAGUCCACCAGUCAUCAUCCAUAAUUGUGUGUCAAUCACGAAUAGCUAAGUUAUCCACACAAAUCUUCUGCCCAUUUGAGAAAACAUAAGCUUCGGAUAAAUGGGACUGAAGAAACAUCUAUCACGAGGAUUUUGGAGCACUGCAGGUCAGUCAUUCGCUAUGGAAUUUGACUAGAUUUUUAUCGAUGUAUAUUUUCUUUUCAAAAGUAAUGCUUUAUAUAGUUUGUAUAGUAUUACAACAAUAGUUUUAUUACUGGUGCAAUUACAAUGUUGACUUAUUCAUAUCUCACAUUUCAAAAGAUUGAUAAUGUAUCAUCUGAUCGAGUUUCGGGAAUACGAUGUAUAUGUCGUUUGCUUUAAAUCAGCAUUGUGUGUUCUAUAUAUAUUGCUAACAUAUGUGUUACAUAAAGGUAUCUACAUUAAUAGAAACUAAAAUGGAUCAUUAUGUUACAAGCCUUCUUCGAUUCCAGGUUUCUCCGAACCAAUGCGGUCCAAAUGUAUGUACUAAUGCCUACUCAAGUUUAUAAAUAGGAGUGACAUGAUACCUUGGGCUAAUGAGUUUCUACUUCUCACUUCCAUGCUGUGCAAAACUGCAGAAGAGAGGCAUAUACGAGAUAGGAGAGCUUUUCUGCUCCAUAGCCUUUUUGUAGAUGUUGCAAUUUUUAGAGCCAUUGCUUCCAUACAGUAUGUAAUGGAAAAACGUAUUGCUUCUUCAAUUGAGAAAGAUGAAAUUUUGCACUUCGAGAUAGUAGGGGAUUUCAACAUUACUGUCACCAGAGAUACUUCAGAUGCAAGCUGCAAGUUGGAUACAAAGAUUGAUGGGAAUAGGAAAACGGGAAUGGACCGCAAACAUCUUAUAGAGAGAAACUUACUGAAAGGAAUCACUGCUGCUGAAAAGACAACAACUCAUGAUUUCAUCACCUUGGGCGUCAUGAAUGUGUGGUAUUGUGGUUAUAUUGCAAUCGUGAAAGUCAACAACUUUGACAAAAGUAAAUUGGACCCUUUGCAAGCCAUUGAUAUUGAGGACCAACCUGAUGGGGGAUCUAAUGCUCAAAACAUUAACAGUUAGAGAAUGUUUCUUCACGCGAAACCUAUAAAAGAGCAGAUAAGAGCAGCUAAUCACGCUAUGAGCUCAAAGCAUGAGGAGCUUACUGUAGGCCAAGCUUUUGUAGAGAAAUUGUUAAAUGAUAGUCUAGCUAGGCUUGACGAAGAGAAGACUGACGAAAACGUCUUCAUGAGAUGGGAACUUGGAGCUUGCUGGAUACAGCACCUGCAAGAUCAAAAGAAUGCAGAAAAAGAGAAGAAACCUGUGGCUGAUAAAGAUAAGAAACAUAACAGCGAGAAGACUAAAGGUGAAACAAAGGUAGAGGGACUUGGAAUGCCUCUUAAAUUUCUUAAGAAUACAAAGAAGUUAGAUGGCUAAGAAGCUUCUUCCUCUUUGGAUAUGAAAACAUCUGUAUGUCAACGAUGGUGAGAACCAGAAUGAUCAGCCUUUGUCUACUGAAGAUAAAUGAGACAUUGUAGCACCUGACAAAAACCAACAUUUGCUAAAAAAUUAUUAUCUGAUCCAGCAUUUACAAGGCUAAAAGAAUCUAAAACAGGACUUCACCUGCAGGUAUGUAGGGGGAGAAGCAGGAAUUGUUGAC